UACGGAGGGGGCUAGCGUUGUUCGGAAUUACUGGGCGUAAAGCGCGCGUAGGCGGCUUUGUAAGUUAGAGGUGAAAGCCCGGAGCUCAACUCCGGAACUGCCUUUAAGACUGCAUCGCUAGAAUUGUGGAGAGGUGAGUGGAAUUCCGAGUGUAGAGGUGAAAUUCGUAGAUAUCGGGAGGAACACCAGUGGCGAAGGCGGCUCUCUGGACAGGUACUGACGCUGAGACGCGAAAGCGUGGGUAGCAAACAGG
rnacentral:rRNA from 1 species